GACGUCUCAGUGCGCAGAUACCGCGGCCCGGGCCCCUCCGCCGCGCGGGGGACCGCACUAGCGUCGACCUCCCGGCAGCCAACCCCGCGCGCAAGGCUCCGCGGCCGGAUAUGGGCCUAGCUUCCGGGAUCCGCUCCCUGCGGGGCCGCGCUUAGGGUCGGAGUUCGCUAGUCCAGGGAAAGGGGUGGGAGGGGCCCUCGGAGGGGCCCCUACAAGGGAUCCCAGUCCGCAGAAUUAAAAAUUCGUUCGCAAGGGAGCGCCCUUCCGGGGUCAGGGUCGUGAAGAGACACUCGAGAAUUAGGGUCCUGGACUGCAGUGGGGCCGGGCCUGGACUUCGGGCAGGUGUUUCCUGGCCGCCCUGGGGCCCUGCAGCACCGAGGGCCGCGCUGAUCUCAGGGCUCAGGCGGACGAGGGGCCGCCACAGGCACCUUAGGACCCUGGCGGCCUGAAGGCCUGGGGCCUUCAGGAAAGCCUCGGGCACUCCCAGCGGGGGACCUAGCGCCAGGUCACGAUUCCAUUCGGGGCGGGGAGCUUCUAAGCAGGAGUUGCUGACCAAGGAAAGAGUCUGGACCCGGGACCUCAUCCCUGAGGACCAGACCACGACCUUGGAGCUCAGCUCUCAGUCCUUCCCGGCUAGGGAUGCGGAGGGGUCGGGAGCUCGACGGCUAAGCGGCAGGGAAUCCUGAGUUCCUAGAGAUCUACAGAAAGCAGAAGAACGACACUAGAUGAGACUAGACAGUGACGGCGGAAGGACGGAACCACAUGGAGACUGACACACUUUGCGAGUUGGGACUCAAUUGCAUUUCUUUAAGUCCUUGAUUCCGAAGUUUCCCCGCCCUCCUAUGCAAGAGCGUUUGGGGAAACUAAGUUCCUUAGACUCUUUCAUCCUUGUUAUGUGAGCUCAGGGAGGAAGGCAGACAAUAGCUGCAGCCUAAACACCUGCUAUCUCUCAAUGCAAUAAGAUAUAGACGGUGAUUGGAGUCGUUUCUCUUUUUGCUUCCAGAGGGAGCUCAAACCUGAAGCAUCAAGGUUAUCUUUUUCCAAAGGAUUUGUGUGAACCUAAGUUCGGUACCUGCGACGAGUAAAAACACUUAUUUGACCCUCUAGAGACUCAGCUAGAACUGACUGAGCAAAGGGAAAUCGGGCAAAAGAAAGGGAAGGUACUGAGGAGAAAACGGUAAGCGG
rnacentral:lncRNA from 1 species